rnacentral:tRNA from 1 species
CUCGCUUUGGCGUAGCGGCUGCGCGCUUCCUUUGGGAGGAAGAGUACGCAGGUUCGAAUCCUGCAGGCGAGACCA